CCAAUCUUCUAUAACAUUACUGAUUAUUAAAUCCACAUGCCCUAAUAUUGUAACUGAAAUACCUUCUGCUUUUUCUCCUGUAGUUUCAUGCAGAGAGGGAUGUUGAGCAGACAAUAGAGGAGAAUAGCGAUCCUAGUCAAUACUCCACCUUUCUGCAGUCCAGGCCAGAUGUCAUGGAGAUAGAGGCAAUUCGUACUGUCACAGAACUCUGCCUCCAGUAUCAGGUGCGGUGCCAUAUAGUUCACUUGUCCUCUGCAAAGCACUGAAACUGAUCCAG
rnacentral:lncRNA from 15 species